rnacentral:rRNA from 1 species
GACGAACGCUGGCGGCGUGCUUAACACAUGCAAGUCGAACGAAGUGGCGAACGGGUGAGUAACGCGUAAUCAACCUGCCCUUCAGAGGGGGACAACAGUUGGAAACGACUGCUAAUACCGCAUACUGAAGGAGGGGAUUGCGUCUGAUUAGCUAGUUUGAGGGGUAACGGCCCACCAAGGCGAUGAUCAGGAGCCGGUCUGGAGGGAUGGACGGCCACAUUGGGACUGGGGCAAGGCCCAGACUCCUAACGGAGGGAGCAGUGGGGGAUCUUCCGCAAUGGACGGAAAUCUGACGGGGCAACGCCGGGUGAGUGAUGACGGCCUUCGGGUUGUAAAGCUCUGUUAAUCGGGACGCGGUACCGGAAUAGAAAGCCACGGCUAACUACGUGCCAGCAGCCGCGGUAAUUC